ACAGAACAAAACCACACAACAGCUCAUCAUGCUGAUUGAAAAAUAGUUACUUUGGUGUCCAAACAUAAACCUGUCCUGCAAGCAGAUGAUGAGCGCAAUGCCUACUAUAUACGCGAUACUGGCCGUAGGAUUGAAUCUGUUAAACCGUAAUCGUUGCCACUGCAACUCUCAUCUCUGUCAAUGGCUCGAUUCGUGAGAUGUCUGAAGAGAACCGUCUUCACUAAUUCGUCCCCUUCAAUUUGUACAGUCGGUUUAUUCUCGAAUCAAAAUCGAAACUUUUUAAUCAGCGGGAGAUGUCUAAGCUGAGGGAGUUACGUCUCAGAAAUGCAGAAAAUCAGCUUUCCAAGGAAACAUUUGCAGACUGAUCCGUAAUGAGAUCGAUUACGAGCUCAAUCACUCGCCUCCUCUUCAGUGGAUUAGCUUGACGAGGAAGUAUGGGGAGAAAGGAGACAUUAAAGUUGAGGCAACCAUGUUUGAUAGAUCCGUUCCCUCGUCAAAGUCCACCAGCACUGAACCUGACUUUAUUCUUCACAUCACUUUCCUUGUCAAAAUGUGAAUCCUUGGAUCAUAAAACAUUGAGAUAUCCAAGCUCUGCACCAACAGUUGGCCGUCUUCCUACGGUGGUCCAGAGUUUGAGGAAUUGGAUGAGCUCUUUAUCAGUUUUUAGAGGAAAGAGGUAUUAGCGACGAGCUUGCUGUUUUCUUGCAUCGUUAUAUGAAGAACAAAAGUAAAUUCGAGUACGUCAGAUGGAUGGAAAGCGUUAAAUCUUAUGUCGAGCAGAAUUAGACAUUAGCCUCUUCGGCUUUUGAUUUUGAUAUGCCUUCUAGUAAUAAAUUCAGUUGCAAAUUUAUUUUUUGUUAGCUGGGUUCUUAGCUUACAUGUUUUGUAAAUACAGGUAUUUAUUGUUUGCUUUGAAAGUGCUUUAAAGUUAAGCUUGUAGAA